rnacentral:rRNA from 1 species
UACGAAGGGUGCAAGCGUUGUUCGGAUUUAUUGGGCGAAAGCGCGCGUAGGCGGACCUGCAAGUCAGAUGUGAAAUCUCGGGGCUCAACCUCGAAACUGCGUCUGAAACUACAGGUCUAGAAUCUUGGAGGGGGUAGGGGAAUUUCACAUGUAGGGGUAAAAUCCUAGAUAUGUGAAGGAACACCAGAGGCGAAGGCGCCUGCCUGGACAAGUAUUGACGCUGAGGCGCGAAAAGCGUGGGGAUCAAACAGG